rnacentral:rRNA from 1 species
AUUGAACGCUGGCGGAAUGCUUUACACAUGCAAGUCGAACGGCAGCACGGGAGCUUGCUCCUGGUGGCGAGUCGCGAACGGGUGAGUAACAUAUCGGAACGUACCCAGUCGUGGGGGAUAACUAUCCGAAAGGAUAGCUAAUACCGCAUACGUCCUGAGGGAGAAAGCGGGGGAUCGCAAGACCUCGCGCGAUUGGAGCGGCCGAUAUCGGAUUAGCUAGUUGGUGGGGUAAAGGCUCACCAAGGCGACGAUCCGUAGCGGGUCUGAGAGGACGACCCGCCACACUGGAACUGAGACACGGUCCAGACUCCUACGGGAGGCAGCAGUGGGGAAUUUUGGACAAUGGGGGCAACCCUGAUCCAGCCAUUCCGCGUGAGUGAAGAAGGCCUUCGGGUUGUAAAGCUCUUUCAGCAGGAACGAAACGGUCGGCUUUAAUAAAAUCGGCUAAUGACGGUACCUGCAGAAGAAGCACCGGCUAACUACGUG